UCUUCUUAGAGCUGCUAAUGCAGUCGAGCGAACAGACAAGGAGCUUGCUCCUUUGACGUUAGCGGCGGACGGGUGAGUAACACGUGGGUAACCUACCUAUAAGACUGGGAUAACUUCGGGAAACCGGAGCUAAUACCGGAUAAUAUUUCGAACCGCAUGGUUCGAUAGUGAAAGAUGGUUUUGCUAUCACUUAUAGAUGGACCCGCGCCGUAUUAGCUAGUUGGUAAGGUAACGGCUUACCAAGGCGACGAUACGUAGCCGACCUGAGAGGGUGAUCGGCCACACUGGAACUGAGACACGGUCCAGACUCCUACGGGAGGCAGCAGUAGGGAAUCUUCCGCAAUGGGCGAAAGCCUGACGGAGCAACGCCGCGUGAGUGAUGAAGGUCUUCGGAUCGUAAAACUCUGUUAUUAGGGAAGAACAUACGUGUAAGUAACUAUGCACGUCUUGACGGUACCUAAUCAGAAAGCCACGGCUAACUACGUGCCAGCAGCCGCGGUAAUACGUAGGUGGCAAGCGUUAUCCGGAAUUAUUGGGCGUAAAGCGCGCGUAGGCGGUUUUUUAAGUCUGAUGUGAAAGCCCACGGCUCAACCGUGGAGGGUCAUUGGAAACUGUAAAACUUGAGUGCAGAAGAGGAAAGUGGAAUUCCAUGUGUAGCGGUGAAAUGCGCAGAGAUAUGGAGGAACACCAGUGGCGAAGGCGACUUUCUGGUCUGUAACUGACGCUGAUGUGCGAAAGCGUGGGGGAUCAAACAGGAUUAGAUACCCUGGUAGUCCACGCCGUAAACGAUGAGUGCUAAGUGUUAGGGGGUUUCCGCCCCUUAGUGCUGCAGCUAACGCAUUAAGCACUCCGCCUGGGGAGUACGACCGCAAGGUUGAAACUCAAAGGAAUUGACGGGGACCCGCACAAGCGGUGGAGCAUGUGGUUUAAUUCGAAGCAACGCGAGAACCUACCAAAUCUGACAUCCUUUGGACAACUCUAGAGAUAGAGGCCUUCCCUUCGGGGAAAAAUGAACAGGUGGGUGCAUGUUGUCGUCAGCCUCGUGUCGUGAGAAUGGUGGAUAGUUCCGCACGAGGCGCACCUAGGCUUAAGUUGCAUCAUAGUGGCCUCUAGUAGACUGCGGUGACAACGGAGAGUGGAUGACGUUAAAUACCUAUGUGCCUUGAGUUGGCUACAGGUUCCAAUUGCAAUGACAAGGGCAGCGAACUCGC
rnacentral:rRNA from 1 species